rnacentral:rRNA from 1 species
GUCCAUCCGGUGGCAACACUGGUGAAGACCGAGUGGCGAACGGGUGAGUAACACGUGAGCAACCUGCCCCGAAGACCGGGAUAACCCCGGGAAACCGGAGCUAAUACCGGAUGUCCCCACCGGGUCGUAUGGCCUGGCGAGGAAAUGGAUUCCGCUUCGGGAGGGGCUCGCGGCCUAUCAGCUUGUUGGUGGGGUAACGGCCCACCAAGGCUUCGACGGGUAGCUGGUCUGAGAGGACGAUCAGCCACACUGGGACUGAGACACGGCCCAGACUCCUACGGGAGGCAGCAGUGGGGAAUCUUGCGCAAUGGGCGAAAGCCUGACGCAGCAACGCCGCGUGGAGGAUGAAGCCCCUUGGG